rnacentral:rRNA from 1 species
GUGUCAGCCGCCGCGGUAAUACGUAGGGUCCAAGCGUUAAUCGGAAUUACUGGGCGUAAAGCGUGCGCAGGCGGUUUUGCAAGACCGAUGUGAAAUCCCCGAGCUCGACUUGGGAACUGCGUUUGAAACUGCCAGACUAGAAUAUGUCAGAGGGGGGUAGAAUUCCACGUGUAGCAGUGAAAUGCGUAGAGAUGUGGAGGAAUACCAAUGGCGAAGGCAGCCCCCUGGGAUAAUAUUGACGCUCAGGCACGAAAGCGUGGGGAGCAAACAGGAUUAGAAACCCCAGUAGUCC